rnacentral:rRNA from 1 species
UAGGGAAUCUUCCGCAAUGGACGCAAGUCUGACGGAGCAACGCCGCGUGAGUGAAGAAGGAUUUCGGUUCGUAAAACUCUGUUGUUAGAGAAGAACAGCGCAUAGAGUAACUGUUAUGCGUGUGACGGUAUCUAACCAGAAAGCCACGGCUAACUACGUGCCAGCAGCCGCGGUAAUACGUAGGUGGCAAGCGUUGUCCGGAUUUAUUGGGCGUAAAGCGAGCGCAGGCGGUCAAUUAAGUCUGAUGUGAAAGCCCCCGGCUCAACCGGGGAGGGUCAUUGGAAACUGGUUGACUUGAGUGCAGAAGAGGGGAGUGGAAUUCCAUGUGUAGCGGUGAAAUGCGUAGAUAUAUGGAGGAACACCAGUGGCGAAGGCGACUCUCUGGUGUGUAACUGACGCUGAGGCUCGAAAGCGUGGGUAGCAAACAGG